rnacentral:lncRNA from 1 species
GGAUUGCACAACUUCUGGGCAAGGCAGAGUUCUAUUUUAUAACGCACUAGAGGAGACAGAGACGUCAUUGCUUCACCCAGGGCAAGAGGACAAAGGAGGAUGCAUGGAAAUACAAACAGCCCUUCUCCUCCAGGCCAUACCGACUGUCCAGCUAGCAAGAGACUUCACCUGGUUUUGGAGCAAUCUGAAUUUGGAAUAUGCCAGAGAAAACUUCUAUCAGGCAAGAUGGAAGACUCCUAGGAUAGGUCCCUCUCAUGGAGGGGCACGAUGGUAAGAGUCCAGUGGAUGGAAAAGGGCUCCUCCUUAAAGAUGGUGAUGGAAACGAGCACUGCACAGGGAAACACAAAUCAGGUCCCCUGAAAUCCAGCCCAACCUGGCUAGACCCUCCAGUGCCCAUCAGGGCUUAAGAACAGGUUGCUUCCGUGUCUUUGUUAGGGGGUGGUUAAAAAGGAGUAUGUGCUUAUAGAGUAUGCUGCUGAGCUCCAUGAUUUUGACUUCAUGUCUAACCUGUUGAUGCUACAAAACUCUUUCAAAAACAGUUACCAUGGGAACUUUUCCCUAGCAAGCAUUCUUCAAGAAACGUUACAGGUGCUGGUGAAUUCAAUGCCCUUGGUGUCAAUAAGCUUUUGCUGAGUCUUAGAAUGUGUGGCUUGAACUGAGAGGACUUUCAAACAGAUAAUGCAAAGUUUCCAAUGCAAAUGUCUUCGGGGUUAAGUGUCAGUGAAACGCAGUGGAAGGUAGGGGGGAUAAAAUGAUCUCAGUGUAUAUGGAGGCCCCACUUAAGCAUUCAAAAAAAACUAUAUACAGUGUUUUCAAUGUAUUAUGUAUCAGCAAAACAAAAUACCCCAUAGUGCUAUAAUCAGCUCAGGGGGUCACCUCAGCAAGAGAUGCUCUGGUUAUCACUCCUACUACGGGAUUUCCUCUCUCAUCAGAACCAGUAGGUGGUCAAAACCACAAUAAUGCAUAAAUGAAGGCAGGGAAUUGGGUAUCCAAUGUGAGCAACUGAAAAGGUGCCAUGUAUUAGCUAUUUGCCAUUAUGGUACUGCAAGUGCUCAGAUGACUCACAAAAUGACCAGAACAAAAGUUUGUUGUUUUGUUUUUACUUUGAGAAGAUAAAGAAUCACGAAUUAGUAUUCAAGGUUACCUAAUACUAACCCUUGUCUACCACGUGAGGAACCAGACCUUGCAUUACAGGGAGCUGUUGUUGGGACAGGACAAGAGUCCACAUCCCCUGCCCAGUGCCUGGUUCUGGGUCAUGUCACUGAAGCGCAUCAGCCCAUCUGUCAGCCAAACCCCACUAGCCUUGUGCCUUCUCUUCUAAAUCCCUGCGGAGGAAAACAACUUCUGCCUUCUACAGUACGAACAGUGAGGGUCUGCUAGGAACCAAUACAACUUCGCGUCCCAAUGCAGCAAUGUUGCCAGGUAACAAAUGUAGAAAUAUACUCCAAAAACUGUAUGUGACAAUAUACAACCUCCGCUCUGCAGCUGAUAACCGAGGGAGUGUUAAAACACCGUGUUCUCUUAACACUUGGGUUUUUGGUGUGAAAAUAAAAUUAAACGGGAUACUUCCUCUUGUAAAUAGAAGACAGGCACACAACUCACACAUGUAUCCACUAAUUGGAAAUAGUAGAGGGGUUUGCAAUAGCUAUCUGCAGUGCAUCCCAGCCUUCACUCUUACCCUCAAGAUGAAUUCCAGAAAACCUACAGAAACAAUAACUGAGGAAGAGCCUUUCUUAUGUCCGGGACAAGCUCUCCUCUAACAAUUGUGAGGAAGCUACCCACAAGAAAGACACCAGCAGAAAUUAAGGAAAAGCUCAUGCAUUGUUAUUAAAAAAAAAAUGUGCUUCCAUUCCACUCCAUUUUAAAGGUCUACCUUUAAAACUCAUUGGCUAACCAAGCAGUGACUACUUGCUUCUCAGAUCAAAUAACCAGUGCAGCCUGUUCCCACCCCAAACGAAAACAAGAUAGACACUGCUCUCUAGUAGGCAG